rnacentral:misc_RNA from 1 species
UCAGCCUUUGAAUGCUUUUAUGGUGGGCAAUUCUCAGGCAAUUUAUGAGUUUUGGGGUUUUGAUUUAAGGAAGAAUGUGAGUUUAAGCUAGGCAAAUCGAAUUACAGCUGUUAAGAGUGAGAAAAAGGAAAGAAUUGAAAAUUGUUGGGGCUGUGAAAUAUACCCAAGAAACUGCAGCUGUAGCACUAGAGGGAAAUGAGAAGAGAGAAGAAGGGAAGACAAACUACGAACAAAGGCCUUAAACCAAAUCAAAAUACCCAAGAGUUCGAUUAUCAAAACCCUAAGAAAAUUACUAAGUAGGUAAUUAUAGAGAUUUAAUAAUUAACCCCACUUCCACUAGGAUUAAAUCCUAAACUAGUAAGAUUUAAAUCCUAAUACUUGGAUUAUGAAUCCCAAACUAG